UUACGGCCACAUCACUUUGAAAGACCAGUUCCCGUACAAUCGCUUAAGUUAAGCAAAGUUGAGUCUGAUCAGUACCUAGGUGGGUGACCGCUUGGGAAUACCAGGUGCUGUAAG